GACGAACGCUGGCGGCGUGCUUAACACAUGCCAGUCGAACGGAAAGGCCCUGCUUGCAGGGUACUCGAGUGGCGAACGGGUGAGUAACACGUGGGUGAUCUGCCCUGCACUUCGGGAUAAGCCUGGGAAACUGGGUCUAAUACCGGAAAGGAGCCAUUUUUAGUGUGAUGGUUGGAAAGUUUUUUCGGUGUAGGAUGAGCUCGCGGCCUAUCAGCUUGUUGGUGGGGUAAUGGCCUACCAAGGCGGCGACGGGUAGCCGGCCUGAGAGGGUGGACGGCCACAUUGGGACUGAGAUACGGCCCAGACUCCUACGGGAGGCAGCAGUGGGGAAUAUUGCACAAUGGGCGCAAGCCUGAUGCAGCGACGCCGCGUGGGGGAUGACGGCCUUCGGGUUGUAAACUCCUGUCGCUAGGGACGAAGCUUUUUGUGACGGUACCUAGAUAAGAAGCACCGGCUAACUACGUG
rnacentral:rRNA from 1 species